rnacentral:rRNA from 1 species
GUGUCAGCAGCCGCGGUAAUACAUACUGUGCGAACGUUAUUCGGAUUCACUGGGCUUAAAGGGUGCGUAGGUGGCAUGUUAAGUAGGAUGUGAAAUCCCCCAGCUCAACUGGGGAACUGCAUUCUAAACUGGCGUGCUAGAGUGAGAUAGGGGUGUCCGGAACUGCCAGUGGAGCGGUGAAAUGUGUUGAUAUUGGCAGGAACGCCGGUGGCGAAAGCGGGACACUGGGUCUCAACUGACACUGAGGCACGAAAGCCAGGGGAGCGAACGGGAUUAGAUACCCCGGUAGUCC